GACGAACGCUGGCGGCGUGCCUAAUACAUGCAAGUCGAGCGGACGUAAAGGAGUGCUUGCACUACUGAGAGGUAGCGGCGGGCGGGUGACCAACACGUAGGCAACCUGCCCUCAAGUCUGGGAUAACUACCGGAAACGGUAGCUCAUACCGGAUGAUUUAUUACAUAGCAUUAUGUGAUAAUGAAAGACGGAGCAAUCUGUUACUUGGGGAUGGGCCUGCGGCGCAUUAGCUAGUUGGUGGGGUAACGGCCCACCAAGGCGACGAUGCGUAGCCGACCUGAGAGGGUGAACGGCCACACUGGGACUGAGACACGGCCCAGACUCCUACGGGAGGCAGCAGUAGGGAAUCUUGCGCAAUGGGCGAAAGCCUGACGGAGCAACGCCGCGUGAGUGAAGAAGGUUUUCGGAUCGUAAAGCACUGUUGCCAAGGAAGAACGUCACUUAGAGUAACUCCUAUGAGAGUGACGGUACUUGCGAAGAAAGCCCCGGCUAACUUCGUG
rnacentral:rRNA from 1 species